rnacentral:rRNA from 1 species
AACGAACGCUGGCGGCAGGCUUAACACAUGCAAGUCGAACGCCCCGCAAGGGGAGUGGCAGACGGGUGAGUAACGCGUGGGAAUCUACCUAGUUCUACGGAACAACUGAGGGAAACUUCAGCUAAUACCGUAUACGCCCUAAGGGGGAAAGAUUUAUCGGAAUUAGAUGAGCCCGCGUAAGAUUAGCUAGUUGGUGGGGUAAUGGCCUACCAAGGCGACGAUCUUUAGCUGGUGUGAGAGGAUGAUCAGCCACACUGGGACUGAGACACGGCCCAGACUCCUACGGGAGGCAGCAGUGGGGAAUAUUGGACAAUGGGCGCAAGCCUGAUCCAGCCAUGCCGCGUGAGUGAUGAAGGCCUUAGGGUUGUAAAGCUCUUUCAGUGGGGAAGAUAAUGACGGUACCCACAGAAGAAGCCCCGGCUAACUUCGUGCCAGCCGCCGCGGUAAGAC